rnacentral:lncRNA from 1 species
GAAACACAGUGGCAGAUGUUGAUGAGAAAGCAAGUGCUGCACUUUAUGACUUUUCUGUGCCUUCCUCAGAGACGGUCAUCUGCAGGUCUCAGCCAGCCCCUGUGUCCCCACAACAGAAGUCAGUGUUGGUCUCUCCACCUGCAGUAUCUGCAGGGGGAGUGCCACCUAUGCCGGUCAUCUGCCAGAUGGUUCCCCUUCCUGCCAACAACCCUGUUGUGACAACAGUCGUUCCCAGCACUCCUCCCAGCCAGCCACCAGCCGUUUGCCCCCCUGUUGUGUUCAUGGGCACACAAGUCCCCAAAGGCGCUGUCAUGUUUGUGGUACCCCAGCCCGUUGUGCAGAGUUCAAAGCCUCCGGUGGUGAGCCCGAAUGGCACCAGACUCUCUCCCAUUGCCCCUGCUCCUGGGUUUUCCCCUUCAGCAGCAAAAGUCACUCCUCAGAUUGAUUCAUCAAGGAUAAGGAGUCACAUCUGUAGCCACCCAGGAUGUGGCAAGACAUACUUUAAAAGUUCCCAUCUGAAGGCCCACACGAGGACGCACACAGGAGAAAAGCCUUUCAGCUGUAGCUGGAAAGGUUGUGAAAGGAGGUUUGCCCGUUCUGAUGAACUGUCCAGACACAGGCGAACCCACACGGGUGAGAAGAAAUUUGCGUGCCCCAUGUGUGACCGGCGGUUCAUGAGGAGUGACCAUUUGACCAAGCAUGCCCGGCGCCAUCUAUCAGCCAAGAAGCUACCAAACUGGCAGAUGGAAGUGAGCAAGCUAAAUGACAUUGCUCUACCUCCAACCCCUGCUCCCACACAGUGACAGACCGGAAAGUGAAGAGUCAGAACUAACUUUGGUCUCAGCGGGAGCCAGUGGUGAUGUAAAAAUGCUUCCACUGCAAGUCUGUGGCCCCACAACGUGGGCUUAAAGCAGAAGCCCCACAGCCUGGCACGAAGGCCCCGCCUGGGUUAGGUGACUAAAAGGGCUUCGGCCACAGGCAGGUCACAGAAAGGCAGGUUUCAUUUCUUAUCACAUAAGAGAGAUGAGAAAGCUUUUAUUCCUUUGAAUAUUUUUUGAAGGUUUCAGAUGAGGUCAACACAGGUAGCACAGAUUUUGAAUCUGUGUGCAUAUUUGUUACUUUACUUUUGCUGUUUAUACUUGAGACCAACUUUUCAAUGUGAUUCUUCUAAAGCACUGGUUUCAAGAAUAUGGAGGCUGGAAGGAAAUAAACAUUACGGUACAGACAUGGAGAUGUAAAAUGAGUUUGUAUUAUUACAAAUAUUGUCAUCUUUUUCUAGAGUUAUCUUCUUUAUUAUUCCUAGUCUUUCCAGUCAACAUCGUGGAUGUAGUGAUUAAAUAUAUCUAGAACUAUCAUUUUUACACUAUUGUGAAUAUUUGGAAUUGAACGACUGUAUAUUGCUAAGAGGGCCCAAAGAAUUGGAAUCCUCCUUAAUUUAAUUGCUUUGAAGCAUAGCUACAAUUUGUUUUUGCAUUUUUGUUUUGAAAGUUUAACAAAUGACUGUAUCUAGGCAUUUCAUUAUGCUUUGAACUUUAGUUUGCCUGCAGUUUCUUGUGUAGAUUUGAAAAUUGUAUACCAAUGUGUUUUCUGUAGACUCUAAGAUACACUGCACUUUGUUUAGAAAAAAAACUGAAGAUGAAAUAUAUAUUGUAAAGAAGGGAUAUUAAGAAUCUUAGAUAACUUCUUGAAAAAGAUGGCUUAUGUCAUCAGUAAAGUACCUUUAUGUUAUGAGGAUAUAAUGUGUGCUUUAUUGAAUUAGAAAAUUAGUGACCAUUAUUCACAGGUGGACAAAUGUUGAUGUUGUCCUGUUAAUUUAUAGGCGUUUUUUGGGGAUGUGGAGGUAGUUGGGUAGAAAAAUUAUUAGAACAUUCACUUUUGUUAACAGUAUUUCUCUUUUAUUCUGUUAUAUAGUGGAUGAUAUACACAGUGGCAAAACAAAAGUACAUUGCUUAAAAUAUAUAGUGAAAAAUGUCACUAUAUCUUCCCAUUUAACAUUGUUUUUGUAUAUUGGGUGUAGAUUUCUGACAUCAAAACUUGGACCCUUGGAAAACAAAAGUUUUAAUUAAAAAAAAUCCUUGUGACUUACAAUUUGCACAAUAUUUCUUUUGUUGUACUUUAUAUCUUGUUUACAAUAAAGAAUUCCCUUUGGU